rnacentral:rRNA from 1 species
AGAUUGAACGCUGGCGGCAGGCCUAACACAUGCAAGUCGAGCGGUAGAGAGGUGCUUGCAUCUCUUGAGAGCGGCGGACGGGUGAGUAAUGCCUAGGAAUCUGCCUAGUGGUGGGGGAUAACGUUCGGAAACGGACGCUAAUACCGCAUACGUCCUACGGGAGAAAGCGGGGGACCUUCGGGCCUCGCGCCAUUAGAUGAGCCUAGGUCGGAUUAGCUAGUUGGUAGGGUAACGGCCUACCAAGGCGACGAUCCGUAGCUGGUCUGAGAGGACGACCAGCCACACUGGAACUGAGACACGGUCCAGACUCCUACGGGAGCAGCAGUGGGAAUAUGGACAAUGGGGGAAACCUGAUCCAGCGACGCCGCGUGUGUGAAGAAGGCCUGCGGGUUGUAAAGCACUUUAGUGGGAUGAAAUGUGCAGAGCUAAUACCUCUGUACUUGACCUAACCACAGAAAAAGCACCGGACUAACUCUGUGCCAGCAGCCG